GCCAGGCAUGGUGGCUCAUGCCUGUAAUCCAAUCACUUUGGAGGCCAAGGCGGGAGGAUCACCUGAGGUCGGGAGUUCAAGACCAGCCUGACCAACAUGGUGAAACCCUGUCUUUA
rnacentral:sRNA from 1 species